AAAGAUGCUGUUGCAAGCCAGCAGCUCGCUGUUCUCAUGGCCUACUAUGCCAGGAGCCCCCCGUGGCACAGUGGGUUAAACCUUUGUGCCAGCAGACUGAUGACUGAAGGCUGCCAGUUCAAAUCCAACCUGGGGAAAGCACAGAUGAGCUCCCUCUAUCAGCUCCAGCUCCAUGCGGGGACAUGAGAAAAGCCUCCCACAAGGAUGGAAUUCUGUGACUCUGGCCAUCUCUGAAGUAAUGCCCAGCCUUCCUGACACAUCUGAAUCCAUCCUACCUGAUUCUUCCUUGCCUUCAAAGAGAUGUUCUCUUUUGACAAAAGUGGAGCAGCUGGGUCACCAGUAGUUCAUUUAUUUGUUAACCUUUCCUUUGUUUAUGGAGCUACCAGUGCAAAACUUGUCCAAACAAAGUUUGUUAUGGAAAGCUUUAGUAUAGGUCUAACAAAAUCCCCAGAAUGAAUGUAUGACUAAUAAUAAUAAUAAGAAGAAGAAGAAGAAGAAGAAGAAGAUCGAACUACAAAGACUCUGGCAGAAGCCAGUCAAGGUGGUCCCAGUGGUGAUCGGCACACUGGUGCAGUGUGUAAAGACCUUGGCCUGCACUUGAACACAAUCGGCGCUGACAAAAUUACCACUUGCCAGCUGCAGAAGGCCACCUUACUGGGAUCUGCACACAUUAUUUGCCGAUACAUCACACAGCCCUAGACACUUGGGAAGUGUCCGGCGUGUGAUCCAGUACAACAGCCAGCAGAGUGUCUGCUGUGGACUCAUCUUGUUGUGUUUCAAAUAAUAAUAACAAUAAAUCUUUAUUUCUAUCCCACUUUUCUCCCUAAAACAGGACCCAAAGCGGCUUGCAACUUUAUGUAAAAGACUAAAUAAAACAAUGUACAUAUAUAAAACACAACCUAUAAAACAAUUUUACAAUCCGAAAUAAGUAUACAUAUUUAAAAACAUUCAUCUAAUAUGAUUAUUGCAAGCUACUCAACAAGUCAGAUGGUAAAGUUAAUGCGACUUGGAAGUUCACAAAGUAUUGACAAAUAGCAAAUAGAGUGUUCAGUCAAUGUAAUUGUAGUUAUACUUGUUGCUUUGGUGUUUUUUUUUUUGUUUUUUUUUUUAAAUGUUGGUUAUUGAGUGUAAACCCUGUCUAUGCCCAAGUAUCUCAGUACCCCAUUUUGAUGUAUAUAAAUCAGCCAACAAUCAUAGUAUGCAUGCUGUGUAGAAUUAAUGCAGUUUGAUACCACUUUAACUCCCAUGGUUCAAUGCUAUGGAAUUAUAGAAGCUGCAGUUUUAAAAGUCUUUAGCUUUUUCUGCCAAAGAAUAAUGGUGUCUCACCAAACUGUAAAUCACAUGAUUCCAUAACAUUGAAUCAUGACAAAUGAAGUGACAUUGAACUGUACUAAUUCUACAGUGUAGAUGCACCCAUAUAGUAACACUAAUGCUCUGGUUCAUAGGAGUAGUAAUUUUGUUGAAAGAUGCACAUGUGAGCCCAUGGGAUGAUGUUUUAGCACUGAAGUCCAAUUUUGUCUUUAAAGUACCUUCUGUCUAUUUUUAAAAUUAAAGCUAUUAUGUUGAUAUUGAUUUCUUAUGGUAAAAAUGCUAUAUAUUUUAUUAUUUAAUGGUUUUAUGUUCUCAACUCAACCCCUACCUUUCUACCAUGUUUAUGAAUAUACAUAAAGCAUGUGCUGACAGAUUUUGUAAGAACCCAAAGUCAAACAAAAGAGAGUUGGCUGCUGAUAAGUAGUAGUUCCCAAGAAUGCUUUAUAAGGACAAAUCAAGCAAUCAGAGUCAGUAAACACAGUUUUCUUCGUAGCGAUAUCUAUCUUGCUACAGUUCCAAGCUAAAAUGAAUGUUGACUAUUGUGGUGGCGGAAGGGGUUGUGACUUAGGGUUUUUAUUGUUUUUGUGCCUUGCCACUUAAUCCAAUAGGGUUUAUAAAUCUUUAAUUGCUCUAAAUGCUUAAUGAUGACAUGAUGUUCAAAAGGCUGCUUGAAGCAUUUGCAAGCAGGACAGAGUUACAGAUUGAGGAAGAUGUAAAUAAAACAGGGGCAGGCAGAAUCUAUGUGGAGUUUGCUGUAAGAUCGUUAACAUCUGUGAUUUUAAUUAUUAUGACAUCUUAGUCUGUGUCUGUGAGCAAAGUGUGGGGGUAUGGAUAUGGGGGUGUGAGUUUGCAGUUAUGUAAUACUAACUCUCAGGAGAAAUGGGAGUUGGGGAUAAUCUGUCUGAGGGGGUGGAGAUCCACAUUUUGAAAAGAGGAGGUGGUGAGUAGGAGAGGAAUACAAUCAUCAGCAAAAAAAAUUCCUUUUAUUCAGCCUUAAAAUAUUCAGCAGAAAGUGUCAACAUAUGGCUAACAGGGCACUGCUCCUUAUUUGACUGCAAAAGAUGCUUCGGCACACUAGAACUCAAUGCUGGACCACAGCUUCAGAAAAACACUUACCUAUCUUUCUAGCCAAAGUAGGAUAGAAUUUCACAGGCAAGUGAAAUUAGAGCUCAUCUAAACCAGGUUUCAACAAGACAAAAUGUUGCUACUUACUUUUAGUGCAAGGGCCCCACUCUGGGACAUGAUGGAGAAGGAUAUAAAUGGUUUUGUUUUGUGCUGGUAUCUUUUCUAAAACUGCUUCCCCUGUGAUUUAUUGUGUUGUUUUGAUAUUGUUGACUUAUAACAGCCAAAUGAAUUUCAUAUGGUUUCCUUAGGCAAGGACUAAGAUGCUGUGUUAUUACCUUCCUCUGAAAUUUAGUCACCGGUUUCUGGGUUUCCCUGGUGAUCUCCCUCCAAGUUGUAGUAACCAUGGUUGACCUGCAUCUAAAAGCAAAGGAGCCUCCGAUGGCCUAGGGGAUAAAAGCCUUGUGACUUGAAGGUUGGGUUGCUGACCUGAAGGCUGCCAGGUUCGAAUCCCACCCGGGGACAGCGCGGAUGAGCUCCCUCUAUCUG
ensembl:lncRNA